rnacentral:lncRNA from 1 species
GCUGGGUUCGGGGGUAGGAUAGUGGACUAGUUGAAUAAAAAGGAGCCCCUAACUAAAGUAAUUGAUGCAGGCCUAAACCUAAAUGGGGCCCAUCAUCUAGGGUGAUUUCUUCCCUGAUCAAGUCAAGAGGGUCGGGAUCGCACUUGACUAAGAAGGGGUGGUAGGGCCUUGAUGAUGAUUGGAUGGAGUCCUCCAACCUUCAAAGAGUGG